rnacentral:rRNA from 1 species
AAAGCGUGCGCAGGCGGUUAUAUAAGACAGAUGUGAAAUCCCCGGGCUCAACCUGGGAACUGCAUUUGUGACUGCAUGGCUAGAGUACGGUAGAGGGGGAUGGAAUUCCGCGUGUAGCAGUGAAAUGCGUAGAUAUGCGGAGGAACACCGAUGGCGAAGGCAAUCCCCUGGACCUGUACUGACGCUCAUGCACGAAAGCGUGGGGAGCAAACAGGAUUAGAUACCCCAGU